UACAGCCAUACCACCCUGAACAUGCCUGAUCUCAUCUGAUCUCAGAAGCUAAGCCUAGUUGGGCCUGGUUAGUACUUGGAUGGGAAUAAAGACCAGUCUCCCUUUAU
rnacentral:rRNA from 1 species